rnacentral:lncRNA from 1 species
AUGGCUAAAGUAUCCAAUUGGAUUGUGAUUCUGUGGAGGAGUUUCACUAGGACUAGGACUCUGGAGGAGAGUCCACUGGACUGAAACUCUACUAUUAAUAGAGAAUUAAUUAGUAAUUAGAUUACUAAUUAACUUAAUUUGAUAGAGCAAAGAGCUUUGGAUCAAGUCUAAUUGAAUUAGAUUUAGUUUGACUUAGAUUGGUUUGAUUUGAUC